CGGACCGGCGCACGGGUGCGUAACGCGUAUGCAACCUACCAUCAACAGGGGGAGUAACACUGAGAAAUUGGUACUAAUACCCCACUAAUAUCUCAUGCGGCAUCGCAUGGGGUUGGAAAACUACCGGUGGUUGAUGAUGGGCAUGCGUUGUAUUAGCUGGUUGGUGAGGUAACGGCUCACCAAGGCGACGAUACAUAGGGGGACUGAGAGGUUAACCCCCCCACAUUGGUACUGAGACACGGACCAAACUCCUACGGAAGGCAGCAG
rnacentral:rRNA from 1 species